UGUGAAUUGCAGAAUCCCGUGAACCAUCGAGUCUUUGAACGCAAGUUGCGCCCGAAGCCUUCUGGCCGAGGGCACGUCUGCCUGGGUGUCACGC
rnacentral:rRNA from 1 species